rnacentral:rRNA from 1 species
UAAGGAAUAUUGCUCAAUGGGAGAAAUCCUGAAGCAGCAACGCCGCGUGGAGGAUGAAGGGUCUAUGACUUGUAAACUCCUGUAAAGAAGGAAAAAAUUCCCAUUAGAUGGGAGAUGAUGGUACUUCUGGAGUAAGCCCCGGCUAACUACGUGCCAGCAGCCGCGGUAAUACGUAGGGGGCAAGCGUUGUCCGGAUUUACUGGGUGUAAAGGGUGCUCAGGCGGAUUUGUAAGUCAGAGGUGAAAUCUUACAGCUUAACUGUGAAACUGCCUUUGAUACUGCAAGCCUAGAGUAUGGAAGAGAGUGAUGGAAUAUCUGGUGUAGCAGUGAAAUGCGUAGAUAUCAGAUAGAACACCGAUGGCGAAGGCAGUCACUUGGUCCAUUACUGACGCUAAAGCACGAAAGCGUGGGUAGCAAACA